AUUGAACGCUAGCGGGAUGCCUUACACAUGCAAGUCGAACGGCAGCACGGACUUCGGUCUGGUGGCGAGUGGCGAACGGGUGAGUAAAGUAUCGGAACGUGCCCAGUAGAGGGGGAUAACUACGCGACAGCGUAGCUAAUACCGCAUACGCCCUGAGGGGGAAAGCGGGGGAUCGCAAGCCCUCGCGUUAUUGGAGCGGCCGAUAUCGGAUUAGCGAGUGGGUAGGGUAAAGGCCUACCAAGGCGACGAUCCGUAGCUGGUUUGAGAGGACGACCAGCCACACUGGGACUGAGACACGGCCCAGACUCCUACGGGAGGCAGCAGUGGGGAAUUUAGGACAAUGGGGGCAACCCUGAUCCAGCCAUUUCGCGUGUGCGAUGAAGGCCUUCGGGUUGUAAAGCACUUUUGGCAGGGAAGAAAAGGUUUGGGCUAAUACCCUGAGCCGCUGACGGUACCUGCAGAAUAAGCACCGGCUAACUACGUGCCAGCCGCCGCCGUAA
rnacentral:rRNA from 1 species